rnacentral:rRNA from 1 species
UACAGAGGGUGCAAGCGUUGUUCGGAAUUAUUGGGCGUAAAGGGAGUGUAGGCGGCCAUUUAAGUCUUCUGUGAAAUUUACGAGCUUAACUUGUAACGUGCAGAGGAUACUGGGUGGCUUGAGUGUCGGAGAGGAUAGUGGAAUUCCCGGUGUAGAGGUGAAAUUCGUAGAGAUCGGGAGGAACACCAGUGGCGAAGGCGGCGAUCUGGGUCGAUACUGACGCUGAGGUGCGAAAGCGUGGGGAGCAAACAGG